rnacentral:lncRNA from 1 species
CCUCUACAGGAGCAGAUCCAGGCCGCAGGCGAGGUGUGGUCUCAGAUUUUCCUCUAUGAAGAUCCAACUUAUAUAGGAUUGGUCCUCUGGAAGAACUGUGAAAUCCUGAUACUAUUCCUUUCAGUAAUCUGUUUCCCCAGUUUCCAGUAAUCUGAAAAACAUUCCUUUCUUGGGAACUAAUGAUAGCAUUCACUCUGAGUGGAGGCACAAAUACAUCUCUUCUGGCUUGUAACAGCAAGAUACAAAUCACAGGACAAUUGCAGACUUUUGGAUGUGGUUUUCACAGGAGAUUUAUUGGAGCAUCUGAAAUAAUUCUAAUAAGCAGUGAGCUGUUGAAUCUGCCACUUCAUGAAUAGAGCUGGUAGUAAAGCAUCUGCACAGCUGCAGGAUCUAUCUACAGCAGUAAUUUUAGAUCAAGUAUUUUGUAUUUGCUUACAAAGCACCCUCUGCUGUUUGAGCUGCUACAUGCUUUGUAGAUAAAGCUGCAUUUUGGAAAGUUCAAUAGUCUUUUUGAGGGUCCCUGUAAGAGCUGCAAAAAUAUCCAGAGACAAUCUUAUCAAUCUCAUUCCUGUAGAGCAUAUCAUCUGGUUGGGCAAGUAGGAAUGGCGUGGUGCUAGGAGGUGUGUUUUUGCUUGUUUUCUAAUCCCAGAAAGAACAAAGCUGAGACAUAAGUAACAGGAAGGGUAAUAAACCAAGCAGAUAAAACUU